AUUGAACGCUGGCGGAAUGCUUUACACAUGCAAGUCGAACGGCAGCACGGGGCGACCUGGUGGCGAGUGGCGAACGGGUGAGUAAUACAUCGGAACGUGCCCAAUCGUGGGGAUAACGUAGCGAAAGUUACGCUAAUACCGCAUACGAUCUACGGAUGAAAGCGGGGGAUCGCAAGACCUCGCGCGAGUGGAGCGGCCGAUGUCAGAUUAGGUAGUUGGUGGGGUAAAGGCUCACCAAGCCAACGAUCUGUAGCUGGUCUGAGAGGACGACCAGCCACACUGGAACUGAGACACGGUCCAGACUCCUACGGGAGGCAGCAGUGGGGAAUUUUGGACAAUGGGCGCAAGCCUGAUCCAGCCAUUCCGCGUGCAGGAUGAAGGCCUUCGGGUUGUAAACUGCUUUUGUACGGAACGAAACGGCGAGCUCUAAUACAGUUUGCUAAUGACGGUACCGUAAGAAUAAGCACCGGCUAACUACGUG
rnacentral:rRNA from 1 species